GAUGAAGAACGCAGCGAAAUGCGAUACGUGGUGUGAAUUGCAGAAUCCCGUGAACCAUCGAGUCUUUGAACGCAAGUUGCGCCCGAAGCCAUCAGGUUGAGGGCACGUCUGCCUGGGCGUCACAUAUCGUUGCCCAAUGCCUAUUGCAGUGCAAUAGGAAUUUCUAGGGCGAAUGAUGGCUUCCCGUGAGCGUUGUUGCCUCGCGGUUGGUUGAAAAUCGAGUCCUUGGUAGGGUGUGCCAUGGUAGAUGGUGGUCGAGUUAGAACGAUACCGAUCAUGUGCAUGCUCCCCAAAAUAUGGCCUCUAUGACCCACACGCGUCUUUUGACGCUAAUGACGAGACCUCAGGUCAGGCGGGGCUACCCGCUGAAUUUAAGCAUAUCAAUAAGCGGAGGA
rnacentral:misc_RNA from 1 species